GACGAACGCUGGCGGCGUGCUUAACACAUGCAAGUCGAACGGAAAGGCCCUGCUUUUGUGGGGUUCUCGAGUGGCGAACGGGUGAGUAACACGUGAGUAACCUGCCCUUGACUUUGGGAUAACUUCAGGAAACUGGGGCUAAUACCGGAUAGGAUCUCCUGCUGCAUUGUGGGGGUUGGAAAGUUUCGGCGGUUGGGGAUGGACUCGCGGCUUAUCAGCUUGUUGGUGGGGUAGUGGCUUACCAAGGCUUUGACGGGUAGCCGGCCUGAGAGGGUGACCGGCGACAUUGGGACUGAGAUACGGCCCAGACUCCUACGGGAGGCAGCAGUGGGGAAUAUUGCACAAUGGGCGGAAGCCUGAUGCAGCAACGCCGCGUGCGGGAUGACGGCCUUCGGGUUGUAAAACGCUUUCGCCUGUGACGAAGCGUGAGUGACGGUAAUGGGUAAAGAAGCACCGGCUAACUACGUG
rnacentral:rRNA from 1 species